rnacentral:tRNA from 1 species
GGCCAGGUAGCUCAGUUGGUAGAGCAGAGGACUGAAAAUCCUUGUGUCGGCGGUUCGAUUCCGUCCCUGGCCACCA